UGAAAAUGGAUGGCGCUGUAGCGUCGUGCCUAUACUCGGCCGUCAACGGCACAGGGGGCGGCACCUUCGCGGGUGCCGGGCCGUUAUGCCUUGACGAGUAGGAGGGUCGCUGCGGUGUGCACAGAAGGGUCUGGGCGUGAGCCUGCCUGGAGCCACCGUUGGCGCAGAUCUUGGUGGUAGUAGCAAAUACUCCAGCGAGGACCUGGAGGACUGACGUGGAGAAGGGUUUCUUGUGAACAGCUGUUGCACAAGAGUCAGUCGAUCCUAAGCCCUAGGAGAAAUCCUAUGUCGAUGGGAAGCCGUUGAAAAUAGAAGGCGCGGUGCGCUAUCACUAGCGUAGUACGCUUCCUUGUAUUGGAAGGCGACCCACGGGGCGAAAGGGAAUCCGGUUCCUAUUCCGGAACCCGGCUGCGGAACCGUUCAUAAGCGGGCCCUCAUCCGAGAGCUCGACGGGGCAACCCGAAGAGACCCGGAGACGCCGGCGGGAGGUCCGGAGAGAGUUUUCUUUUCUCUAUAAGCGUUCGAGUUCCCUGGAAGCCUAUAGCAGGGAGAUAGGGUUUGGAACGCGAAGAGCACCGCAGUUGCGGCGGUGUCCGGAUCUUCCCCUCGGACCUUGAAAAUCCGGGAGAGGGCUACGCGGAAUGUCCGCGCCGGAUCGUACCCAUAUCCGCAGCAGGUCUCCAAGGUUAAGAGCCUCUAGUCGAUAGAAUAAUGUAG
rnacentral:rRNA from 1 species